rnacentral:rRNA from 1 species
AGUGAACGCUGGCGGUAGGCCUAACACAUGCAAGUCGAACGGCAGCACAGUACGUGUUUGCUCUUACGGGUGGGGGGUGGGGUGCGUGUGAGGAGUACAUCGGAAUCUACUUUUUGGGGGGGGUUCACGAAGGUAAGCCUACGCUAGUACCGGAUACGACGUACGGGUGAAGGCAGGGGAUCUUCGGACCGUGCGCGGUUGAAUGAGCCGAUGUCGGAUUAGCUAGUUGGCGGGGUAAAGGCCCACCAAGGCGACGAUCCGUAGCCGGUCUGAGAGGAUGAUCAGCGACCCGAGAAGUGAGCCACGGUCCAUACUCCUAAGGGAGGCACCAGUCGGGAAUAUGGGGCAAUGGGCGCAAGCCUGAUCCAGCCAUCCCGCGUGGGUGAAGAAGGCCUUCGGGUUGUAAAGCCCUUUUGUGGGGAAAGAAAAGCAUCAGGUUAAUACCCCGCUUUUGUGACGGUACCCAGUGAAUAAGCACCGGCUAACUUCGUG